rnacentral:rRNA from 1 species
GACGAACGCUGGCGGCGUGCUUAGCACAUGCAAGUCGAGCGGUAAGGCCCCUUCGGGGGUACACGAGCGGCGAACGGGUGAGUAACACGUGAGCAAUCUGCCCCUGUCUCUGGGAUAACCACUGGAAACGGUGGCUAAUACCGGAUAUGACCUCCCUUCGCAUGUUGGGUGGUGGAAAAGUCCUCUGGACAGGGAUGAGCUCGCGGCCUAUCAGCUUGUUGGUGGGGUAAUGGCCUACCAAGGCGACGACGGGUAGCCGGCCUGAGAGGGUGACCGGCCACACUGGGACUGAGACACGGCCCAGACUCCUACGGGAGGCAGCAGUGGGGAAUAUUGGACAAUGGGCGAAAGCCUGAUCCAGCAACGCCGCGUGAGGGAUGACGGCCUUCGGGUUGUAAACCUCUUUCAGCAGGGACGAAGCGAAAGUGACGGUACCUGCAGAAGAAGGACCGGCCAACUACGUGCCAGCCGCCGCCGUAAUAC